rnacentral:lncRNA from 1 species
AAGAAUGCAUACAUGUACACAAACCCUAAGGAAAAAAAUUAUUCAGCCAAGCACAAUUUCCAUUUUAAUCAUUAAAAAAACUAGACAAAAAAUGUGACACAAUGAAAAAAACCACACAAUUUUUGGAUCAUUAUUUGAUUUGUUAUGAUUUUAUGAAGUGAGAAAAAAAAUGAAAAAUGUAUGAAGAAACAUGUGGAGAUGGCAUUAAAAAAAAUAAGAUGAAGCAUAUGAAAACCUACACAGCCAGGAUCGAAC